AAAUUGAAGAGUUUGAUCAUGGCUCAGAUUGAACGCUGGCGGCAGGCCUAACACAUGCAAGUCGAACGGUAACAGAAAGCAGCUUGCUGCUUUGCUGACGAGUGGCGGACGGGUGAGUAAUGUCUGGGAAACUGCCUGAUGGAGGGGGAUAACUACUGGAAACGGUAGCUAAUACCGCAUAAUGUCGCAAGACCAAAGAGGGGGACCUUCGGGCCUCUUGCCAUCGGAUGUGCCCAGAUGGGAUUAGCUUGUUGGUGGGG
rnacentral:rRNA from 1 species